rnacentral:lncRNA from 1 species
AAGCUUGUUUGGUCUUUGGGCCAUGAUCAAGUGAAGUAUGUGUUGAGUUUACUUAACAUAUUUAAGUAUUUUUUUAAUAAAAUAUUGCGAUAUUAUCGAUAAUUUUGAAAAUAUCGCGAUAUUUUUGAUAUUAUCGAUAAUAUCGCGAUAUUUAACGAAAAUAUGUUGGAUAGUUAAAAAAAUUUCGGAAUUCCAAAAAAACGAUAAUAUCGGCGAUAUUUCGCCGAUAUUAUCGAUUUUUUCUUCCUUGGUUUUAGUUUAAUGUUGUAUAUUGUCCUUAGACUUUUCUCACUUUGUAUCAAUGUGUUUUAAUGAAGGUAUGCUUUGGGUUAAAGUGGUUGGUAAAGUUCAAUUUGCACGAUUUGGUAAGAUUAUGGGAGCGCUUAUAGCACGAGUGGCUUGCCCACCCUUGUUUUCCCUUUAUCCCUUAGGUUCAUUGGUUCUUCUCUCGACGAAGGCGGCUUGGUGGUCGUGAUGCAACUAUUUUGGUGGAGGAGGCUAGUUCCCAUUUUUAGAUUUAGGGUUUUCGGUUGAAGGAUUGCUAUGGGGCUCACUUUUGGGGUUUGUUUCCCUUUUUUCCUUUUGUAUUUGGGAUGCAGUUUUAGUUGUAUAUUGUCCCUAGACUUUUCUCACUUUGUAUCAACGUGUUUUAAUGAAAUUGGUUGUUUUUGGAAGAAAAAAAAUGAAAUUAGUUGUUAGACCCGAGAGAGAGAGAGAGAGAGAGAGAGAGAGAGAGAGAGAGAGAGAGAGAGAGAGAGAGCACUGCGAAUGUGAACGAAAUUUGAAGGUUCCUUAAGUAAACAAGUUCAAACCUAAGAAAAGCCCCCUAAAAUACCAAAGCUUGUAAAAGAGUCCAAAUGUUGGCGUAUUUUAUGUAGGAAACAGGGUUUCGAAAGGAAAUAAAGCUGGACAAAAGAUGACGAAAAGUUUACAUAUUCCGACCAAAAAUUGAGAAUGAAAAUACUCAUCAUUCAUCAGAUUCGAACUUAAAACAUAUUACUUAAAAAUGAAAAAAAAAAUACUACUAAAUUGUAAUACUAGGUGGCAUCAUAUUCCCGAAAUUUGAAUAUGAAGAAAUGAAAGAAAACAAAUGAAGUGUUCAAACGGCUUUUUAGGGUAUCGUUAUAUUUCAAAUACAUGUCAAAUGUAUUUCAUCUAGUUAUUCAAUCGAAAUAGAUUCACCCUCAUGUUUUCUAGUUUAUGUUGCAAAUUGUCAAACCCAAAUCCAUAUUUCAAAUCCCUCCACCCAACUAGAGAGUUUUAGAGCAUGUUUGGUACUCUACUUAAAUCAAACUUUUUAAACUCAAAAAUAAUUUUCAAGUUUUAAGUCUUAAAAACUUGUUUGGUAUGACUAUUUUCAAAAACUGAACUCAAGACUAAUUCAAAAUUAUAGUCUAUUAUCUAAAAACACAAAAAGUGAGUUUUUAAAGUUUUUAAACUUAAACUUACUUAUUUCUUUUCUCUCCCUCCUCCCCUCUCACUUCAAAUCUCUCUCUCUCUCUCUCUCUCUCUCUUUUCUUCUUUCUCUCUC